AUUGAACGCUAGCGGGAUGCUUUACACAUGCAAGUCGAACAGCAGCGCGGACUUCGGUCUGGCGGCGAGUGGCGAACGGGUGAGUAAUGUAUCGGAACGUGCCCAGUAGCGGGGGAUAACUACGCGAAAGCGUAGCUAAUACCGCAUACGCCCUACGGGGGAAAGCAGGGGAUCGUAAGACCUUGCACUAUUGGAGCGGCCGAUAUCGGAUUAGCUAGUUGGUGAGGUAACGGCUCACCAAGGCGACGAUCCGUAGCUGGUUUGAGAGGACGACCAGCCACACUGGGACUGAGACACGGCCCAGACUCCUACGGGAGGCAGCAGUGGGGAAUUUUGGACAAUGGUGGCAACCCUGAUCCAGCCAUCCCGCGUGUGCGAUGAAGGCCUUCGGGUUGUAAAGCACUUUUGGCAGGAAAGAAACGUCGCGGGCUAAUACCCCGUGGAACUGACGGUACCUGCAGAAUAAGCACCGGCUAACUACGUG
rnacentral:rRNA from 1 species